CAGAGUUGCAAAACUCCCACAAACCAUCGCGAAUCUUACCCGUACGGUUGCCUCGGCGCUGGCAGUCCGGAAGGCCCUCGGGCCCCCGGAUCCUCGGGUCUCCCGCUCGCGGGAGGCUGCCCGCCGGAGUGCCGAAACUAAACUCUUGAUAUCUUAUGUCUCUCUGAGUACACUUUUAAAUAAGUCA
rnacentral:misc_RNA from 1 species